rnacentral:rRNA from 1 species
GAUGAACGCUGGCGGCGUGCUUAACACAUGCAAGUCGAACGGUGAAAGAGAGCUUGCUCUCUGGAUCAGUGGCGAACGGGUGAGUAACACGUGAGCAAUCUGCCCCUGACUCUGGGAUAAGCGCUGGAAACGGCGUCUAAUACCGGAUACGAGCUGCGAAGGCAUCUUCAGCAGCUGGAAAGAACUUCGGUCAGGGAUGAGCUCGCGGCCUAUCAGCUAGUUGGUGAGGUAACGGCUCACCAAGGCGUCGACGGGUAGCCGGCCUGAGAGGGUGACCGGCCACACUGGGACUGAGACACGGCCCAGACUCCUACGGGAGGCAGCAGUGGGGAAUAUUGCACAAUGGGCGCAAGCCUGAUGCAGCAACGCCGCGUGAGGGACGACGGCCUUCGGGUUGUAAACCUCUUUUAGCAGGGAAGAAGCGAAAGUGACGGUACCUGCAGAAAAAGCACCGGCUAACUACGUGCCAGCAGCCGCGGUAAUAC